rnacentral:rRNA from 1 species
UACGUAGGUGGCAAGCGUUGUCUGGAUUUAUUGGGUUUAAAGGGUGCGUAGGCGGCUUUGUAAGUCAGUGGUGAAAUAUGGCAGCUUAACUGUCAAGGUGCCAUUGAUACUGCGGAGCUUGAGUACAGAUGAGGUAGGCGGAAUUGACGGUGUAGCGGUGAAAUGCUUAGAUAUCGUCAAGAACACCUAUAGCGAAGGCAGCUUACUAGGCUGUAACUGACGCUGAGGCACGAAAGUGUGGGGAUCAAACAGG